UACGCAGGGGGCUAGCGUUGCUCGGAAUUACUGGGCGUAAAGCGCACGUAGGCGGCUUUCUAAGUCGGGGGUGAAAUCCUGGAGCUCAACUCCAGAACUGCCUUCGAUACUGGAGAGCUCGAGUCCGGGAGAGGUGAGUGGAACUGCGAGUGUAGAGGUGAAAUUCGUAGAUAUUCGCAAGAACACCAGUGGCGAAGGCGGCUCACUGGCCCGUAACUGACGCUGAGGCACGAAAGCGUGGGGAGCAAACAGG
rnacentral:rRNA from 1 species